AUUAUGGAGGUGAGGAGGAGCCACACGGAAAUAUGCUCUUAUGAGUCGGGCCACAAAAAGUUAAAAAGUACCAUUCAGAGAAGCACAGAAACAGGCAUGGCAGCUGAAAUGAGAAAGAUGGUAAGGCAGCCGAGCCGAGAGUCUACUGAUGGCAGCAUCAACAGUUACAGCUCUGAGGGCAAGUAAGUGCUGUCAGCACGUCUGCAUGGCUGUGGAACCAGGAAUUGUGUACUAAUCAGUAAGAUAACAAAGCCACUGAGUGUUACUGUGCAGCUUCUCUAUUUAACCAGAAGUUCAACCAUCCAUUUUAAACCACCCUGAUGGCUUAUAAUUUAAUAUUUCCUGGAGUGCGACUGGGAGCUGACAGUCAAUUCAGUGAUUUUCUUGAUGGAUUGGGACCAGCCCAGCUUGUUGGCCGCCAAACCCUUGCCACCCCUGCAAUGGGUGAUAUACAAAUUGGAAUGGAGGACAAAAAGGGCCAAUUAGAAGUGGAAGUCAUUAGAGCACGAAGCCUCACACAAAAGCCUGGUUCCAAAUCUACACCUGCUCCAUAUGUCAAAGUAUAUCUUUUGGAAAAUGGGGCCUGUAUAGCCAAGAAGAAGACAAGAAUUGCACGAAAAACCCUUGAUCCUUUGUAUCAGCAGUCUCUGGUUUUUGAUGAAAGUCCACAGGGUAAAGUUCUUCAGGUGAUUGUCUGGGGAGACUAUGGCAGAAUGGACCACAAAUGCUUUAUGGGUGUGGCUCAGAUCUUGUUGGAAGAACUCGACCUGUCCAGCAUGGUGAUUGGAUGGUACAAAUUGUUCCCACCGUCCUCACUGGUGGAUCCCACACUCACUCCCCUCACCCGCCGGGCUUCCCAGUCAUCUCUGGAAAGUUCAACUGGGCCUCCCUGUAUUCGAUCAUAGUGAACUCAUACCAGAGUCAUUCCAAUAAAACUCUACUUUUCAGGAUAAUAAUCUGAACCAGAUAUUUCAUGAUCAAAAGCAUUGUUGGAGACAGACAAUCAACUUGUGUUUUGCCUGUAGUAGUUUUUCAAUAAUAUGUCCCAAUUGUUAUUUAAAACAUGGCUUCAUAUGACAGAACAAGGCAAUCUAUCAAAUUUACAGGAAGAAUCAACAUGCUGGUGAGAGUCACUGAUGCUUCUAACAAAUAGAAAAAGAGGAAACUAAAUCCACGCAUACACUUAACACACACACAUGCGCACACACACACACACACCAAAUUGAACAAACUGGAAACUCUCACUCUGUGAAAAGUUGUAUUCUACACGUUUCUGCACAGACCACAAACAGUGUUAUUUCCCUGAUGUUUGAAUUGUUUUGUUCUUUUGUGUGUUUUGUUUAUUUGUGUGUUGUUUGUUGGUUUUCGUUUCUUCAGUUUUUGUUUUGUUUUCACCACAUCUGUUAUUUCCACUAGUUUUUUUGGCUGUGUCAUGACAGGCCUCAUGAUGCUAACAGAGAUUCUUCCCUUCUUUUUUCCAAAAGCACCAAAAAAAAGGGCUGAAGUGGUCUCUGUAGUAUCUCCCCAAAGUGUUAAACAGCUACAUGAGGUGAAGCCAAGGAAGGGUUUCACUAGCUUUCAUUUUAUAGUUAUUUAAAGUCUUAUGUGUGGAAACCCAAGAGACAAAAAGUUAUCUUCCAAAAUAAAUAAUCACAGAAGUACUUUUUUAAUGAAGAGCCUAUCUGUUUGCAUUCUAGAAAAUUAAUUUAUGGUUUCCAUUGUUUUGCAUGGAAGACUUUUAAAGAAGUCAAUCUGCAACUAAUGCUGGGGACUAAAACUAACUGCAUAAUUGUACUUUGAAAACACUCCUUAUAAUGCCUUUUUCUUCCUGAUAUAAAAAAA
rnacentral:sRNA from 1 species